rnacentral:rRNA from 1 species
GUGGGGAAUAUUGGACAAUGGGCGAAAGCCUGAUCCAGCCAUGCCGCGUGUGUGAAGAAGGUCUUCGGAUUGUAAAGCACUUUAAGUUGGGAGGAAGGGCAGUAAGUUAAUACCUUGCUGUUUUGACGUUACCGACAGAAUAAGCACCGGCUAACUUCGGGCCAGCAGCCGCGGUAAUACGAAGGGUGCAAGCGUUAAUCGGAAUUACUGGGCGUAAAGCGCGCGUAGGUGGUUCAGCAAGUUGGAGGUGAAAUCCACGGGCUCAACCUGGGAACUGCCUCCAAAACUACUGAGCUAGAGUACGGUAGAGGGUAGUGGAAUUUCCUGUGUAGCGGUGAAAUGCGUAGAUAUAGGAAGGAACACCAGUGGCGAAGGCGACUACCUGGACUGAUACUGACACUGAGGUGCGAAAGCGUGGGGAGCAAACAGGAUUAGAAACCCCUGUAGUCC